AACAUCAAAGAUCUCUGGAGGAAAAUUUUAUUAUUUUUGGUUUAAGAAGAAGAGUUGAAAUAUAUGCUGUACUGGAACUUGAAGCAAAAUAGGUGAUGGGGUUUGGUGUUAAUUUUAGCUACUAAAAAUCAAGAAUAAGUAAAGUUGAAACACUGAACUGCAACUUCUACAGCAAUUAAGCAGCAACAACAACUGCUGCAGAAUGUGGUCCUCAGUCCUCCUGUGUAAGAGCUGCUAUAAUUACAUUGUAAGAGUU
rnacentral:misc_RNA from 1 species